rnacentral:tRNA from 1 species
GCCCUCAUCGUCUAGCGGUUAGGACAGAUCCCUCUCACGGAUCAGACCGGGGUUCGAUUCCCCGUGAGGGUA